AUUAGAGCUCCGGAUAGAGCGGAUUACACCAGACCUGGUGCUGCCGCUACUGCUACAGGAGGGGGCGGGGCCUCGGCCCGGUCAGCUGACUCUGCGGAUGACGUCACAGCCCAGGCUAUUACCUUCCCAGACAGGACGUUCCAGGACGUUCCAGCGCUGUACACCACAGGAGUGAGGAGUCACCAUUAGAGGACAGCAGUGCCACCUACAGUGUAUCACAACCACCAAGCUGUCUGUGUCUCACAUGAGAAUCGUAAAAAUUCUUGUAAGAAGCUUUAAAUGGCGCGCUGUCGCCCCCUGUGGACGUACUGCUAAGAAGAGCGGCGAAGGGAGACGACAACUGCUGUGGGAUUAUAUAGGAUGAUGGACGCGAAGAUUACUGGUGACCUCCGCAGAGCGUAAUGAAUGUGAACAUUACCGCUGUCACAUCCGUGAUUACUGGUGUCAGAAACGUGUGUGGAUUUUGUAUCGUUCUAUCAUGGAUGGUUAACACCUUCAUUGCUGCAGGGAAUUCUCACCAGGAUGCAAUUGGAUAUUUACCGAAAAACAUGGUUUAUAAAAAAGACCACUUGGGGUCCCCAUACCAUUCAGAACAUAAUCCUGCCCAGCUGCAGCAUUAACUUUGUCCCAGCUGAAUGGGCAUGGACAAAGUCCAGGAAGUGAGGGCCUGACUAGCUCUCCUCUGUGCUCACUCCUGUCCUAUUAGACUGCAGCAUGAAAACUGAGAGGAGGGGGUUACAGAGCAGCCUGCAGUGAUUGGAUGAAGAGACCCAGCACAGCAGGGAGGCAGAUGAGUCAUGCAGAGUGAGGACUCGCCCCCUCUGAAGCACAGAAUGACAAACCAAGUAAGCAACAGAUAGAAGGUAUUUGUGAGAGAAAUAUAG